rnacentral:rRNA from 1 species
UAGGGAAUAUUGGGCAAUGGGGCGCAAGCCUGACCCAGCAACGCCGCGUGAGGGAAGAAGGUUUUCGGAUUGUAAACCUCUGUCCUAUGUGACGAAGGAAGUGACGGUAGCAUAGGAGGAAGCCCCGGCUAACUACGUGCCAGCAGCCGCGGUAAUACGUAGGGGGCGAGCGUUAUCCGGAUUUAUUGGGUGUAAAGGGUGCGUAGACGGUUAUGCAAGUUGGUUGUGAAAUCCCGAGGCUCAACUUCGGAACUGCAACCAAAACUGUGUAACUCGAGUGCGGGAGAGGAAAGCGGAAUUCCUAGUGUAGCGGUGAAAUGCGUAGAUAUUAGGAGGAACACCAGUGGCGAAGGCGGCUUUCUGGACCGUAACUGACGUUGAGGCACGAAAGUGUGGGGAGCAAACAGGAUUAGAUACCCUGGUAGU